rnacentral:rRNA from 1 species
CGGCGGACGGGUGAGUAAUGUAUGGGGAUCUGCCUGAUGGCGGGGGAUAACUACUGGAAACGGUAGCUAAUACCGCAUAACGUCGCAAGACCAAAGAGGGGGACCUUCGGGCCUCUUGCCAUCGGAUGUGCCCAGAUGGGAUUAGCUAGUAGGUAAGGUAACGGCUUACCUAGGCGACGAUCCCUAGCUGGUCUGAGAGGAUGACCAGCCACACUGGAACUGAGACACGGUCCAG